rnacentral:rRNA from 1 species
UAGUCCACGCCGUAAACGAUGAUUACUCGCUGUAGGCGAUACACAGUCUGUGGCUAAGCGAAAGUUUUAAGUAAUCCACCUGGGGAGUACGAUCGCAAGAUUGAAACUCAAAGGAAUUGACGGGGGCCCGCACAAGCGGAGGAACAUGUGGUUUAAUUCGAUGAUACGCGAGGAACCUUACCUGGACUUAAAUGUACGUUGCAUGGAUUAGAGAUAGUCCUUUCUUCGGACUACGUACAAGGUGCUGCAUGGUUGUCGUCAGCUCGUGCCGUGAGGUGUCGGGUUAAGUCCCAUAACGAGCGCAACCCCUAUCCUUAGUUGCCAGCGGGUGAUGCCGGGGACUCUGAGGAGACUGCCACCGUAAGGUGUGAGGAAGGUGGGGAUGACGUCAAAUCAUCAUGGCCUUUAUGCCCAGGGCUACACACGUGCUACAAUGGCAGGUACAGAGGGUCGCUAAGCCGCGAGGCCACGCCAAUCUCAGAAAACCUGUCCCAGUUCGGAUUGG